CGCGUAGGCGGCUUUACAAGUCAGAUGUGAAAGCCCCGGGCUUAACCCGGGAAUUGCAUCUGAAACUGUUUAGCUUGAGUCCUGGAGGGGGUAGUGGAAUUCCCAGUGUAGCGGUGAAAUGCGUAGAUAUUGGGAGGAACACCUGCGGCGAAGGCGGCUACCUGGACAGUGACUGACGCUGAGGCGCGAAAGCUAGGGGAGCGAACG
rnacentral:rRNA from 1 species